CGCGUAGGCGGUUUGGUUCGUUAGGCGUGAAAUUCCUGGGCUCAACCUGGGGACUGCGUUUAAUACAGCCAGACUUGAGUGUGGAAGAGGGUCGUGGAAUUCCCAGUGUAGAGGUGAAAUUCGUAGAUAUUGGGAAGAACACCGGUGGCGAAGGCGGCGACCUGGUCCAUUACUGACGCUGAGGCGCGAAAGCGUGGGGAGCAAACAGGAUUAGAUACCCUGGUAGUCCACGCUGUAAACGAUGUGUGCUGGAUGUUGGGUGACCUAGUCAUUCAGUGUCGUAGCUAACGCGGUAAGCACACCGCCUGGGGAGUACGGCCGCAAGGUUGAA
rnacentral:rRNA from 1 species